AAAUUGAAGAGUUUGAUCAUGGCUCAGAUUGAACGCUGGCGGCAGGCCUAACACAUGCAAGUCGAGCGGUAGCACAGAGAGCUUGCUCUCGGGUGACGAGCGGCGGACGGGUGAGUAAUGUCUGGGAAACUGCCUGAUGGAGGGGGAUAACUACUGGAAACGGUAGCUAAUACCGCAUAACGUCGCAAGACCAAAGAGGGGGACCUUCGGGCCUCU
rnacentral:rRNA from 1 species